rfam:Schistosoma mansoni strain Puerto Rico chromosome 7, complete genome
GCACUGCUGAAGAGUCCCAUAAUAGGACGAAAUGGCCGUCCAGUGC